AUUGAACGCUGGCGGCAGGCCUAACACAUGCAAGUCGAGCGGAUGAAGGGAGCUUGCUCCUGGAUUCAGCGGCGGACGGGUGAGUAAUGCCUAGGAAUCUGCCUGGUAGUGGGGGAUAACGUCCGGAAACGGGCGCUAAUACCGCAUACGUCCUGAGGGAGAAAGUGGGGGAUCUUCGGACCUCACGCUAUCAGAUGAGCCUAGGUCGGAUUAGCUAGUUGGUGGGGUAAAGGCCUACCAAGGCGACGAUCCGUAACUGGUCUGAGAGGAUGAUCAGUCACACUGGAACUUAGACACGGUCCAGACGCCUACGGGAGGCAGCAGUGGGGAAUAUUGGACAAUGGGCGAAAGCCUGAUCCAGCCAUGCCGCGUGUGUGAAGAAGGUCUUCGGAUUGUAAAGCACUUUAAGUUGGGAGGAAGGGCAGUAAGUUAAUACCUUGCUGUUUUGACGUUACCAACAGAAUAAGCACCGGCUAACUUCGUG
rnacentral:rRNA from 1 species